rnacentral:rRNA from 1 species
CAAAGGUUGAUUCCGGUGGCGGAUGGGCAUGCGUCGCAUUAGUUAGUUGGCGGUGUAACGGACCACCAAGACGACGAUGCGUAGGGGUUCUGAGAGGAAGGUCCCCCACACUGGUACUGAGACACGGACCAGACUCCUACGGGAGGCAGCAGUGAGGAAUAUUGGUCAAUGGGCGGGAGCCUGAACCAGCCAAGUCGCGUGAGGGAUGACGGCCCUAUGGGUUGUAAACCUCUUUUGCCGGGGAGCAAAGUGCCGCACGUGUGCGGUUUGGAGAGUACCCGGAGAAAAAGCAUCGGCUAACUCCGUGCCAGCAGCCGCGGUAAUACGGAGGAUGCGAGCGUUAUCCGGAUUUAUUGGGUUUAAAGGGUGCGUAGGCGGACGCUUAAGUCAGCGGUAAAAUUGCGGGGCUCAACCUCGUCGAGCCGUUGAAACUGGGUGCCUUGAGUGGGCGAGAAGUACGCGGAAUGCGUGGUGUAGCGGUGAAAUGCAUAGAUAUCACGCAGAACUCCGAUUGCGAAGGCAGCGUACCGGCGCCCAACUGACGCUGAAGCACGAAGGCGUGGGUAUCGAACAGGAUUAGAUACCCUGGUAGUCCACGCAGUAAACGAUGAAUGCUAGUUGUCCGGGGCGAUUGA